CACGGACGGGGCGAGCGUUAUCCGUAAGUAUUGGGCGUAAAGAGUUUGUAGGCUGUUUUUUUAAAGACGAACUUAAACCAAGUGAAGGUUCAGACCUGAUCAGGUCUGAACCUUCACUUGUUGGAGAUCUACUACAGGAUCAAAGUACUCUUGAUGAAGGGGUAGAAUCCAUAGAGAUCAACGGGGACUACCACCGGCAAAGGCAUUGAGUCCGUGCAGAUCUGACGCUGAAGAACGAAAGCUUAGGGAGCAAACAGG
rnacentral:rRNA from 1 species